rnacentral:rRNA from 1 species
CGUGUAGGCGGUUUGUACAGUCAGAUGUGAAAUCCCCGGGCUUAACCUGGGAGCUGCAUUUGAGACGUGCAGACUAGAGUGUGAGAGAGGGUUGUGGAAUUCCCAGUGUAGAGGUGAAAUUCGUAGAUAUUGGGAAGAACACCGGUGGCGAAGGCGGCAACCUGGCUCAUUACUGACGCUGGGGCGCGAAAGCGUGGGGAGCAAACA